rnacentral:rRNA from 1 species
AGCCCGCUCGCCGGAAGACCAAGGGUUCCUGUCCAACGUUAAUCGGGGCAGGGUGAGUCGACCCCUAAGGCGAGGCCGAAAGGCGUAGUCGAUGGGAAACAGGUUAAUAUUCCUGUACUUGGUGUUACUGCGAAGGGGGGACGGAGAAGGCUAUGUUGGCCGGGCGACGGUUGUCCCGGUUUAAGCGUGUAGGCUGGUUUUCCAGGCAAAUCCGGAAAAUCAAGGCUGAGGCGUGAUGACGAGGCACUACGGUGCUGAAGCAACAAAUGCCCUGCUUCCAGGAAAAGCCUCUAAGCAUCAGGUAACAUCAAAUCGUACCCCAAACCGACACAGGUGGUCAGGUAGAGAAUACCAAGGCGCUUGAGAGAACUCGGGUGAAGGAACUAGGCAAAAUGGUGCCGUAACUUCGGGAGAAGGCACGCUGAUAUGUAGGUGAAGUCCCUCGCGGAUGGAGCUGAAAUCAGUCGAAGAUACCAGCUGGCUGCAACUGUUUAUUAAAAACACAGCACUGUGCAAACACGAAAGUGGACGUAUACGGUGUGACGCCUGCCCGGUGCCGGAAGGUUAAUUGAUGGGGUCAGCGCAAGCGAAGCUCUUGAUCGAAGCCCCGGUAAACGGCGGCCGUAACUAUAACGGUCCUAAGGUAGCGAAAUUCCUUGUCGGGUAAGUUCCGACCUGCACGAAUGGCGUAAUGAUGGCCAGGCUGUCUCCACCCGAGACUCAGUGAAAUUGAACUCGCUGUGAAGAUGCAGUGUACCCGCGGCAAGACGGAAAGACCCCGUGAACCUUUACUAUAGCUUGACACUGAACAUUGAGCCUUGAUGUGUAGGAUAGGUGGGAGGCUUUGAAGUGUGGACGCCAGUCUGCAUGGAGCCGACCUUGAAAUACCACCCUUUAAUGUUUGAUGUUCUAACGUUGACCCGUAAUCCGGGUUGCGGACAGUGUCUGGUGGGUAGUUUGACUGGGGCGGUCUCCUCCUAAAGAGUAACGGAGGAGCACGAAGGUUGGCUAAUCCUGGUCGGACAUCAGGAGGUUAGUGCAAUGGCAUAAGCCAGCUUGACUGCGAGCGUGACGGCGCGAGCAGGUGCGAAAGCAGGUCAUAGUGAUCCGGUGGUUCUGAAUGGAAGGGCCAUCGCUCAACGGAUAAAAGGUACUCCGGGGAUAACAGGCUGAUACCGCCCAAGAGUUCAUAUCGACGGCGGUGUUUGGCACCUCGAUGUCGGCUCAUCACAUCCUGGGGCUGAAGUAGGUCCCAAGGGUAUGGCUGUUCGCCAUUUAAAGUGGUACGCGAGCUGGGUUUAGAACGUCGUGAGACAGUUCGGUCCCUAUCUGCCGUGGGCGCUGGAGAACUGAGGGGGGCUGCUCCUAGUACGAGAGGACCGGAGUGGACGCAUCACUGGUGUUCGGGUUGUCAUGCCAAUGGCACUGCCCGGUAGCUAAAUGCGGAAGAGAUAAGUGCUGAAAGCAUCUAAGCACGAAACUUGCCCCGAGAUGAGUUCUCCCUGACUCCUUGA